rnacentral:misc_RNA from 1 species
ACAUACAUCGAAACAUUUCGAGCUAUUUAUAAUUUUAAUGAUCUUGCGUUGAAAACUAAAGUAAACAGCGUCGAAAUGUUAGGAAACCUUCGCGGAGUUUCGCCGUUAUCCGAAACGAUGUCGGAGGGCACGUUGGAGAGAAACCGCGCAGAGAGAGCACUUAUAACUAAAACACCCGCCCAAAGUCAGGUCUUCCUCAAUAAAUCUAACGUGAAGAAUUAUUCCGAUAAAAAUGGUAAUGAAGUAAGCAAGAAUGUGAGCAAGGGGCGCAAAACGUUUGCAUUUUGGACGCUGGUGUGUCUGCUGUUUAUACUGGCGAUCGGAAAUUUGGUUCUAACUUUCACCAUUUUGGCUGUCUUGAGACUUGGACAUGGCAUGGAAAGUAUGGAGUUCCUGCCGGAGCAUAACGCCAUCAAACUCCUAGGGGAGGCAGGGCUGGAGCACGUCUACAAGAGAGAUGGUCUCCUGGAGAGCUUCCGUGACGCACCCCUGGCCAUCACCAGCGAAAACGGCUCCGUAUUGUUCAACUUGCAGACACGUGUCUCCCGUUCGGACACGAAGCUGGUGGUGAACGCAUCAGGGGUCUUCAUACGAGGAGUGAGCUCCUUAGAGCUGGUGGACCCGGAGACAGGGGACGUGGUCUUCAGCACCAACUCGCCGGAGAUGACCAUACCGGAGGGGGUCAAUAACCUGCACGCUAAGCAAAUCUCGACCAAACGCAUCACGUCCCCAGUCGAUAGUGACUUGCAGCUGCGAACAGAGGCGUCUGCCCACCUCCGUGGCGCCGAGGGCACGCACAUGGAGUCCAAAGAUCUGUUCUGGACUGCCGACCAGGAUAUAUACCUCAAAUCCAUUAACGGGUCCAUAGUUUUGAGUGGAAAAGAGGGUGUGUUUAUAGAUGUAAGGUAUCUACCAAUAGCGUUACCUGUUAACAAGACUGAGAGGUUGGGCUCAGGGCAAUUUAAGGUGUGUGUAUGCAUGCCUCAGGGGAAGUUGUUCAGGGUUGCCGUGCCGACGGGGCAGCGAGUCACCUGUUCACACAUCAACGUCACUGGGGAACUCAACCCUUGUAAUUAACCCUUUCACUGGCAGAGACCAUGGGUCAUUCUUCUUGUAGUUUCGAUGGCAUUCAGAUUUUUUGUAGUAUUUUGCUACCCGGACAGCAUUUUCGGUGGCAUUCAUCAGCUACAGCGUACAGUCAUGAGCAAUAUCAUGUACCCACUUUAGAACCUUGUCGCACUAUCAUAUUUGACAUUUAAUGAGACUUACAGUUUCAUUUAACAGCCUCCGUGGUCUAGUGGUUAGAGCGUUAGGCUCACGAUCUGGAGGUCCGGGUUCGAUUCCCGAUGGGGACAUUGUCGAAAUCACUUUGUGAGACUGUCCUUUGUUUGGUAAGGACUUUUCAGGCUUGAAUCACCUGAUUGUCCGAAAAAGUAAGAUGAUUCCGUGCUUCGGAGGGCACGUUAAGCCGUUGGUCCCGGCUAUUAGCCGUAAAAAACACCUCCACCAACCCGCAGUGGAGCAGCGUGGUGGAGUAUGCUCC